rnacentral:rRNA from 1 species
GAUGAACGCUGGCGGCGUGCCUAAUACAUGCAAGUCGAGCGGUAAGGCCCUUCGGGGUACACGAGCGGCGGACGGCUGAGUAACACGUAGGAACCUACCCCAAACUGAGGGAUAAGCACCAGAAAUGGUGUCUAAUACCGCAUGUGCUCUACGGAGUAAAGCUUCGGCGGUUAGGAAGGGCCUGCGUCCGAUUAGCUAGUUGGUAGUAUAAAAGACUACCAAGGCGACGAUCGGUAGCUGGUCUGAGAGGAUGAUCAGCCAGACUGGGACUGAGACACGGCCCAGACUCCUACGGGAGGCAGCAGUAGGGAAUUUUCCACAAUGGGCGAAAGCCUGAUGGAGCAACGCCGCGUGAGGGAUGAAGGUCUUCGGAUUGUAAACCUCUUUCAGUAGGGACGAAGCGAAAGUGACGGUACCUAAAGAAGAAGCACCGGCUAACUACGUGCCAGCCGCCGCGGUAA